GUGGGCGUAGCUCAGCUGGUAGAGCUCCGGAUUGUGGCUCCGGUGGUCGUGGGUUCAAAUCCCAUCGCUCACCCCA
rnacentral:tRNA from 1 species